GAUGAACGCUGGCGGCGUGCCUAAUACAUGCAAGUCGAGCGAACGGAUGAGAAGCUUGCUUCUCUGAUGUUAGCGGCGGACGGGUGAGUAACACGUGGAUAACCUACCUAUAAGACUGGGAUAACUUCGGGAAACCGGAGCUAAUACCGGAUAAUAUUUUGAACCGCAUGGUUCAAAAGUGAAAGACGGUCUUGCUGUCACUUAUAGAUGGAUCCGCGCUGCAUUAGCUAGUUGGUAAGGUAACGGCUUACCAAGGCAACGAUGCAUAGCCGACCUGAGAGGGUGAUCGGCCACACUGUAACUGAGACACGGUCCAGACUCCUACGGGAGGCAGCAGUAGGGAAUCUUCCGCAAUGGGCGAAAGCCUGACGGAGCAACGCCGCGUGAGUGAUGAAGGUCUUCGGAUCGUAAAACUCUGUUAUUAGGGAAGAACAUAUGUGUAAGUAACUGUGCACAUCUUGACGGUACCUAAUCAGAAAGCCACGGCUAACUACGUG
rnacentral:rRNA from 1 species